ensembl:lncRNA
UAACAUCAGUAAAUUGCCAUAUCUCCUAAAAUGUAGUAGCUGCCAUUUUCUCAUAAUACUAAGUGGAGGGAAUUCUCUUAAAAACAACUGAGGAGGAGAGACAGAGAAGACAGCUAUGAUCAGAGGCGCCAUCACUGAUAGGACUCAGUCUGCAGGACAGCAUGAUCUGGCUCCACAAAUACAGAAUAAUCUUCAUACGAGCUUUAGUUGGUUUGUCAGAAGACACUAUCAUUCAUCCGUAUUCAAGGUUUAUUUACAGCCCAUGUCUCUUGGGCCUCAAUAGUUCACUGCUCUUGAAUGUAAGGAAGAGAUGGAAGUAUGUACAAGACAGUUUUGACCUCAGAAAGCAUACGGCCAAUCAUCAAGGCUCAAACAAACUGCUGGCAAGACCUCUGUGCAGUCAGAUUUGACAACAUUUGAGAACAUUUUACGUAGUACUUGUUUCAGCUAUUCCAGUCCUUGGCUGUGGUGAAUAGUGUGGUUAUGAUAAGAAAAAGUAUUGAUAAAACAAAUGAAGUUAAUGAAGAAAAAAAAUCUAGGGAGAUUUAAAAAUAGUUACUCUUGGGACACGCUGCUGUGUGAUUGACUACCGUUCCACCAAACUGAUACAAAGCGUGAGUGGAAUCGUUCACAGUGAAGUCACUCUUCAGGUCAAGAUCUUGAUAAUGCUUUAAGUCCUCUAUCACCUGAG